rnacentral:rRNA from 1 species
UACGUAGGGUGCGAGCGUUAUCCGGAAUUAUUGGGCGUAAAGGGCGCGCAGGCGGCUCAUUUUGUCAGGCGUGAAAGCCCCGGGCUUAACCUGGGAACUGCGUUUGAUACGGAUGGGCUAGAGUUCGGGAGAGGAGAGUGGAAUCCCCAGUGUAGAGGUGAAAUUCGUAGAUAUUGGGAAGAACACCGGUGGCGAAGGCGGCUCUCUGGACCGAUACUGACGCUGAGGCGCGAAAGCGUGGGGAGCAAACAGG